UACGUAGGCAGCGAGCGUUGUUCGGAGUUACUGGGCGUAAAGGGUGUGUAGGCGGUUAUUUAAGUUUGGUGUGAAAUCUCCCGGCUCAACCGGGAGGGUGCGCCGAAUACUGAAUGACUAGAGUGCGGGAGAGGUGAGUGGAAUUCCCAGUGUAGCGGUGAAAUGCGUAGAUAUCGAGAGGAACACCAGUGGCGAAGGCGAGUCUCUGGACGACACCUGACACUGAGGCACGAAAGCCAGGGGAGCAAACAGG
rnacentral:rRNA from 1 species